AAGACUAUACUUUCAGAGAUCAUUUAUAUAGUUUGUUACU
rnacentral:snRNA from 1 species